ACGAGGCGUAUCUUGUUGUUUGUCCACGAUGAGUGGUGCUAGAGAAAUUCAGCUGCAGAUUACAGGUGUCUGAGGCCAAGAAGACGAGGACGACGGACAAGUGCUGACCGAGUCUGACAAUGGCAGGUCUCGUGAAGAUGCAACUGCGGCGGCGGCGGCGCCGCCUGUGUCCAGCAAUCGGCUGCGGUGGUGGGCGGUGGUCCUUGCCAACAUCGUGUUCGUCCUCGGCGGGCAGAGCGUGGCCACGCUCCUUGGGAGGAUAUACUACGACCAGGGAGGCAACAGCUUGUGGAUGGCGACGGUGGUGCAGUCCUGUGGCGCUCCGCUCGUCGUCCCGCUGCUCCUCUGCGUCCGGCGGCCGGCGUCCUCCCCGGUGGCACGGCCGCCGCUCCACAAGAUCGCCGCCAUCUACGCCGGCCUGGGCGUCCUCCUCGCCGGCGACAACCUGAUGUACUCCUACGCCCUCCUCUACCUGCCGCUGUCGACGUACUCUCUCAUAUGCUCCACCCAGCUCUGCUUCAACGCCGUCUUCUCCUACUUCCUGAACAAGGAGAAGUUCACCGUGCUCGUGCUCAACUCCGUCGUGCUGCUCACCUUCUCCGCGGCGCUCGUCGGCGUGAGCCACAGCUCGGAGGAGACCAAGAGCAACGUCCCGGAGGGCAAGUUCGCGGUGGGGUUCGUGCUGACGCUGGCGGCGUCGGCGGUGUUCGCCCUGAUCCUGUCCCUGAUGCAGCUGGCGUUCGACACGGUGCUCGGGAGCAGCGCGGCGCACGCCGUGCUGGAGAUGCAGUUCUGGAGCAACACCGCGGCGGCGUGCGUGUCGGUGGCCGGGCUGUUCGUCUGCGGGGAGUGGAGCGCGCUGACGGCGGAGCUGGAGGGGUACAAGAAGGGCGAGGUGGCCUACGGGAUGACGCUGGCGUGGACGGCUAUCUCGUGGCAGCUCACGACGAUGGGCAUGGUGGGGCUCGUCGCGACGGUGUCGUCGCUGUUCACGAACGUGAUCAGCACUGUCGGGAUGCCGCUGUCGCCGGUCAUGGCGGUGAUCUUCCUCGGCGACCGGAUGGAAGGCGUCAAGGUGCUCGCCAUGCUCGUAGGCAUCUGGGGAUUCAUGUCCUACAUUUACCAGCACUACCUUGAUGACGUCAAGAUUAGGAAGAGAUCUGAGUCAGCUGACGGCACACAGACUGCACAAGCAAAACUCUCUUGAACUUUUUGCUGUACUUGAACCUUUUUUUUUCACGAAAUCAAUUGGAAAUUCGGAA